rnacentral:rRNA from 1 species
UACGGAGGGAGCUAGCGUUGUUCGGAAUUAUUGGGCGUAAAGCGCACGUAGGCGGCUUUUUAAGUCAGGGGUGAAAUCCCGGGGCUCAACCCCGGAACUGCCCUUGAAACUGGAGAGCUAGAAUCUUGGAGAGGCGAGUGGAAUUCCGAGUGUAGAGGUGAAAUUCGUAGAUAUUCGGAAGAACACCAGUGGCGAAGGCGACUCGCUGGACAAGUAUUGACGCUGAGGUGCGAAAGCGUGGGGAGCAAACAGG